GACGAACGCUGGCGGCGUGCUUAACACAUGCAAGUCGAACGGAAAGGCCCUGCUUUUGUGGGGUGCUCGAGUGGCGAACGGGUGAGUAACACGUGAGUAACCUGCCCUUGACUUUGGGAUAACUUCUGGAAACUGGGGCUAAUAUCGGAUAGGAGCUCCUGCUGCAUGGUGGGGGUUGGAAAGUUUCGGCGGUUGGGGAUGGACUCGCGGCUUAUGAGCUUGUUGGUGGGGUAGUGGCUUACCAAGGUUUUGACGGGUAGCCGGCCUUAGAGGGUGACCGGCCACAAUGGGACUGAGAGACGGCGCAGACUGCUACGGGAGGCAGCAGUGGGGAAUAUUGCACAAUGGGCGGAAGCCUGAUGCAGCAACGCCGCGUGCGGGAUGACGGCUUUCGGGUUGUAAACCGCUUUCGACUGUGACGAAGCGUGAGUGACGGUAAUGGGUAAAGAAGCACCGGCUAACUACGUG
rnacentral:rRNA from 1 species